rnacentral:rRNA from 1 species
CCUACGGGAGGCUGCAGUGGGGGAUAUUGCACAAUGGGGGGAACCCUGAUGCAGCGACGCCGCGUGGGUGAAGAAGCGCCUCGGCGCGUAAAGCCCUGUCAGCAGGGAAGAAACUGACGGUACCUGAAGAAGAAGCCCCGGGUAAAUACGUGCAAGCAGCCGCGGUAAUACGUAGGGGGCAAGCGUUAUCCGGAUUUACUGGGUGGAAAGGGGGGGCAGACGGGGAUGCAAGCUAGGAGUGAAAGCCCGGGGCCCCACCCCGGGACUGCUCUUGGAACUGCGUGGCUGGAGUGCAGGAGGGGCAGGCGGAAUGCCUGGUGUAGCGGUGAAAUGCGUAGAUAUCAGGAGGAACACCGGUGGCGAAGGCGGCCUGCUGGACUGCAACUGACGUUGAGGCCCGAAAGCGUGGGGAGCAAACAGGAUUAGAUACCCCAGUAGUC